rnacentral:rRNA from 1 species
GAUGAACGCUGGCGGCGUGCCUAAUACAUGCAAGUCGAGCGAACAGACGAGGCGCUUGCUCCUCUGACGUUAGCGGCGGACGGGUGAGUCACAUGUGUAUAACCUACCUAUAAGACUGGGAUAACUUCGGGACACCGGCUCUAAUACCGGAUAAUAUAUUGCACCGCAUGGUUCAAUAGUGAAAGACGGCUUUGCUGUCACUUAUCGAUGGUUCCGGGCCGCAUUAGCUAGUUGGUACGGUAACGGCCUACCAAGGCAACGAUGCGUAGGCGACCUGACAGGCUGGUCGCCGACACUGGAGCUGGGCCAGGGUCAAGAGUACUGCGGGAGGCAGCAGUAGGGAAUCUGACGCAGUGGGGGAAAGCCUGACGGAGCGAGGCCGCGUGAGUGAUGAAGGUCUUGCGAGCGGAAAACUGUGUUAUGAGGGGAGAACAAAUGUGGAAGUAACUGUGGACGGCUUGACGGUACCGAAUCAGGAAGCCACGGCUAACUACGUG